ACGCUCGACACCUACUGGAGGCAGCAGUGGGGAAUAUUGCACAAUGGGGGAAACCCUGAUGCAGCGACGCCGCGUGAGCGAAGAAGUAUUUCGGUAUGUAAAGCUCUAUCAGCAGGGAAGAAAAUGACGGUACCUGACUAAGAAGCACCGGCUAAAUACGUGCUAGCAGCCGCGGUAAUCUGAGCGGGCUGGCAAGGC
rnacentral:rRNA from 1 species